rnacentral:rRNA from 1 species
AUUAAAAGUAUUUUCUGCUCAUGUUUUUUUUAAAUAGCCGCAGUAAUUUGACUGUGCAAAGGUAGCAUAAUAAUUUGUUUCAUAAUUGGGGACUAGAAUGAAUGGAAUUAUGAAAAUUUUUCUUUUUUAAUUUUUUUUUUAUAAUUUGUAGUUAAUGUGAAGAUACAUUAUUUUAUUAAAAAGACAAGAAGACCCUUUUGAGUUUUAAUUUAAUUGGGGCAAUUAAAGAAGAUUUCUUUUUAUUUUGAACCAAAUUUUUUGGUUUUUAGAAUAAGUUACCAAAGGGAUAACAGCGUAAUUUUUUUUAAGAGUUCUUAUUAAAAAAAAAGAUUACGACCUCGAUGUUGACUUAUAAUUUCCUAUUGGUGCAGUAAUUAAAAUAGGUGGGU